AACGAACGCUGGCGGCAGGCUUAACACAUGCAAGUCGAGCGCCCCGCAAGGGGAGCGGCAGACGGGUGAGUAACGCGUUGGAACGUACCCUUUGCUACGGAAUAGCUCCGGGAAACUGGAAUUAAUACCGUAUGUGCCCUACGGGGGAAAGAUUUAUCGGCAAAGGAUCGGCCCGCGUUGGAUUAGCUAGUUGGUGGGGUAAUGGCCUACCAAGGCGACGAUCCAUAGCUGGUCUGAGAGGAUGAUCAGCCACAUUGGGACUGAGACACGGCCAAACCUCCUACGGGAGGCAGCAGUGGGGAAUAUUGGACAAUGGGCGCAAGCCUGAUCCAGCCAUGCCGCGUGAGUGAUAAAGGCCUUAGGGUUGUAAAGCUCUUUCACCGGAGAAGAUAAUGACGGUAUCCGGAGAAGAAGCCCCGGCUAACUUCGUGCCAGCCGCCGCCGUAAUAC
rnacentral:rRNA from 1 species